rnacentral:lncRNA from 1 species
CAAAGCAAGAACUGGGAAAAUGGCUCAGUGGGGAAGAACACUUGAUACCCAGCAUGAGGACCUGAGUUCUGAUCCCAACACCCACAGAAAAGUCAGGAGUGGCUGAGCAUGCCCGAAUCCCUAGAACUAGGGGACAAGUGAGUCCCAGAAGCUUGCUGAGCAGCACCCUAGCUAAAAUGGUAGGCCCCGGCCGGGUUCAGUGAGAAAGAAAAGGGAAUACUGUGAACACCGGUAUUGCUGUUUGGCCUCUGCACGGGUGGGUGUUCAUCUGCACACACAUGAAUAACAUACACACACAUUAGCUGUCUAUAGGGCUUCCUAUAGAAAUCAGAAAGACACAGUAAAGGAUGAUUCAGCAGUCAGUUCUUCACAGGAGCGAUGCCUAUGUGCACCCUGCAUCCUUCCUGCUCCAUGCUAUAAACCAUCUCUGUAUUUGGACCAGUGAGCUGACUCUGUGGGUAAAGGUGCUUGCUACCAAGCCUGGCAGCCUGGGUCGAUCCCUAAGAACCGCAUGGUAGGAAAGGGAACCAGCUUCCACAAGUUGUCCUCUGAAUUCCACGUGAGAUCACCUCCCCCAAAUAAAUAAUUACAUACAUCCAUAAAAUAAGUAAAGUAGUUAUAUACAGUGCCUAAUACAAUGGCUAUAGAUGUUAAUAAUAAUUUGUAUUAUUUGGGAAAAAACAAGAAACUAUCUGUGUACCUCCAGUUUCAUUUUCUAGACUAUUUCCCACCUGUAGUUGUUGGAUCUGCAGAUUCAGGACCCAUGUGUGGGCAGGGCUCAAUGAAUUUCCCCUUUUAUCUUCCCUCCAGGAUUUCCCACCUCCCCACCAAAGAACCUCCUUUUAGACAGACACUUUGCCCCACAACCUCCCCUCUACUCCGAACCAAGGCGCCCUAUAUUCUUCCACGCCCCAGCUGUAUCGUGUGCUCUUGAACGUCACUUAAACUUUCCUGGCUCCCUUUGCCCAGUACCUUGUCUGUGAGACUUGUUCUGAUGAGAGAAGGGUCCUGACUCUGCCCUGUCCAUGCUCCUUGGUUAGCAGAGCGAGGACCAUAACCCACCCUUCAUCCUCCAGAGAACACUCACAGAUGCCCCUUUGCAGGCCAUCUACAAGAUGGUGUCCUCCAUGAUGAAGAUGCCUGAGGACGAGCCCAUGCCCGAGAAGCGAACAGACAAGAUCUUCAGACAGAUGGACACAAACAAAGAUGGCAAAAUGUCCCUGGAAGAAUUCAACAAAGGUGCCAAGAGCGACCCAUCCAUUGUCCGGUUGCUGCAGUGUGAUCCCAGCAGUGCUAGCCAGUUCUGAGGGGAAUGGGCUUUUACACAGUUGUGAGAAACACAGGCUUGACCUGCCAUCUUCAGCUUUGCUUGCAAAAGUGGAUUUCUCUGUGAUUUCUCCUGCUCUCUAGGGACCUGGGUCCAGGCAGCACAUCACACUCACCUGGUCCGGCUGGAUGCAGCUCCCUCCUCUGUCUGAUCCAAUAGAUGUCCCUCCCCAUCCAGUCCAGGCUGGUUCCUUCCAAGGUUUCAAGUGUUCUGGGCUGUAGGGCUCCUUCCCUGCCCACAGAGGGCCUGGAGACCCUUAAGGACAUCAGACAGGACAUUUCAGUAUCUUACGGAGACCAGCUGAUUUAUUCUAUGAUCCCAGGUGACUUUGUGAGGAUAAAGAAGAUGGAGAGUAGAUAGGCAAGCCCUUCCUGUGCAUGGCUCCACCUCCCUUGUUCAUUUUCUCCAACCAAAGCUGCUUGCAUGUAUAUACUGCAGUAUCCUUACUUUUAAUAUAUAAGUUUUGUAUAAAGUGAGAAGGUUCAGCCCCUGUAUUUAAAGCCUCGACUGCCUUUAAAGCAUGGUUCCCUGUGGCCUGUGAUUCCCCCCACCCCCAAGUCUGGCUGUGCUGUGGUAUUUAAGUAUUUAUUUGCCUAAUUACACAGGAGAUACAUGCAUGCCCAAGGCUGUGGACAUCUGCCCUCUGUCCUGCAAAUACAGGUGUUCCUGUGUGCUCCAUCCUUCCUUUCCAUUGACCUGGC